rnacentral:tRNA from 1 species
CGGGAUGUAGCGCAGGUUGGUAGCGCAUCUGUUUUGGGAACAGAGGGUCGCAGGUUCAAAUCCUGUCAUCCCGA